rnacentral:rRNA from 1 species
GAGCGAACGCUGGCGGCAGGCUUAACCCAUGCAAGUCGAACGGGCUUCUUCGGAAGUCAGUGGCAGACGGGUGAGUAACACGUGGGAACGUGCCCUUCGGUUCGGAAUAACUCAGGGAAACUUGAGCUAAUACCGGAUACGCCCUUUUGGGGAAAGGUUUACUGCCGAAGGAUCGGCCCGCGUCUGAUUAGCUUGUUGGUGGGGUAACGGCCUACCAAGGCGACGAUCAGUAGCUGGUCUGAGAGGAUGAUCAGCCACACUGGGACUGAGACACGGCCCAGACUCCUACGGGAGGCAGCAGUGGGGAAUAUUGGACAAUGGGCGCAAGCCUGAUCCAGCCAUGCCGCGUGAGUGAUGAAGGCCUUAGGGUUGUAAAGCUCUUUUGUCCGGGACGAUAAUGACGGUACCGGAAGAAUAAGCCCCGGCUAACUUCGUG